GCCCGCUGUUGGGUAUUUUAAACGCAAACAGAAAAAAUCCGCAAGCGCACGGAUACCGAUGUAGCUUUCACCCGGGAGUAUUCCAGAGUAUCGAUUUUCCACAGAGAACGUGAGUGUACUAAUUAAGAUCCAAUAUCGCCCAAGGAUAACUAUAUAAUUAUUUUUGGUGGGAAGAGAGGAAGUUUCCUGAGAGUUCUCUAGUUGAUCUAAGAAUCAAGAAUUACUUCAAGAUUAUUUAUAUCAGGACAUCAGAGCACUAACCACAGAAAGAGAUGAGAAGGGGGCUAGGAAGGUCUGACUACGGUCCUACAAACACCGAUCCGAACGUGGUGGAAUACGUCGACCAUUAGGGCUGUCACUACCCUAAGGCUACCACAACAAUC
rnacentral:lncRNA from 1 species